GCCUGGGUGGCUCAGUCGGUUGGGCAUCUGACUUCAGCUCAGGUCACGAUCUUGCAGUCCGUGAGUUCGAGCCCCGCAUCGGGCU
rnacentral:tRNA from 1 species